GUGGGGAAUCUUCCGCAAUGGACGAAAGUCUGACGGAGCAACGCCGCGUGAACGAUGACGGCCUUCGGGUUGUAAAGUUCUGUUAUACGGGACGAAUGGUACGACGGUCAAUACCCGUCGUAAGUGACGGUACCGUAAGAGAAAGCCACGGCUAACUACGUGCCAGCAGCCGCGGUAAUACGUAGGUGGCAAGCGUUGUCCGGAAUUAUUGGGCGUAAAGGGCGCGCAGGCGGCGUCGUAAGUCGGUCUUAAAAGUGCGGGGCUUAACCCCGUGAGGGGACCGAAACUGCGAUGCUAGAGUAUCGGAGAGGAAAGCGGAAUUCCUAGUGUAGCGGUGAAAUGCGUAGAUAUUAGGAGGAACACCAGUGGCGAAAGCGGCUUUCUGGACGACAACUGACGCUGAGGCACGAAAGCCAGGGGAGCGAACGGGAUUAGAAACCCGGGUAGUCC
rnacentral:rRNA from 1 species